UUUUUUUUUAGGUUGGUAGGGAAAGCGACGCAUGUGUGUAGUAGAGACUGAGACACUGCACGGAUGAUUAAUUAGCACUAUCAGUGAGUCAGCCUUACUCUAGCUAUGCAGCAGCAGUGUACUACUACGCCGCGGAGGUACCCACACGCCACGGCCACGCACGCGGUGCAGUGUACGUACGUGCUCAUCAGCUCAUGCACUUUGCUUGGAACCGCCGGCACGCACGUGGCUUUGCAAGUAACCGAUCGAGCCGAGCAGCGCGGACACGCACGCGGUGUACGUAAGCUCUAGGAUCAACUGAGAGAGGGAGG
rnacentral:lncRNA from 7 species